AUGAGUCCACCAUACCUUCCUAUAUGCGGUAUCUACCUGUCGUUUCAAGUAAAUUUGUAUGUUCCCAACUCCAAACCUUCAAAUGAAAUUCUGUUUUGUAUGCUCGAGCAGCUCAUGUUUCAACUAGGGCUGCCUAUAUCUUCCAUGCUAGGUGGGUUAUUCUCAAGAGGAGUGGACUCCGCUCCUCAUUCACGAGAAAGGGCCGGUAACCGGGAUGCCCAGUCCCAUGAUCCAAAAAGAUCAAAGCAAAUCAAUAUAAUUAAACAAAACUCCCCCACGGCUGUUGUUAGUUGGAGGCACUCGUUGUUCCGAGCAAGCCAUGGAUUGAUGCUUGUUGGUGGUGGGGGAGUAUAA
rnacentral:rRNA from 1 species